UUUACUUCUUUCCCUCGUGUUCUCUCUUCUUCUCCGCCGGAGACGAGACGCAGCUCUUCUGCUUCUUCCUCAUCCCCUGAACCGUCUUCUUCGUCUCCACGCCCCACCAAGCGAUAAGAGAGAAGGUGAUCAGAGACCAAACGAGGUUGGAUUUUUCAUUGACAAGAUUAAGGUUCAAGAAGUGAAAAAGGACAAGCCCUUGCUUAUCUCCUGAAGAAACUCAACACUGAAGGGAAGCUUCCUCUCAAUCAAAAGUAGUUGAACCAUGAAGAGAAACUACUUCGUCUGCAAUUUCAAGACUGGUCAGGUAUAUAUCAUUUCUCUUCCUUUUGAUCUUCUUUCUCUGCUAAUAGUAUUCAUGAUCGUUCUAUCUUUUUACCCGUGGUGUACAUGUUGCUGUUCAUUGGACACAUGAGCGGGUGUUGUCACUCGGCCAAAUUGAGAACGAACGCAGCAGAAUUGCAGUUGCACCUCUAGAAAGGAUGAAGAGGAAGAUGAGAUUGACAAAGUGUAUGUAGGCAAGGAACUCACGUGCUUGGAGAGUCUGUCUUGAACCAAACUCUUCAUUUUUCUAAAACACACAAGAUCUUGACAUUCUUAUGACGAAGCUUUGUUGAUUUCUCAAGACCUGUUUAUUCAAUUGCCUUAAAGAAUCAGCUUUAUGCUUUUGUUGGUGCUCUGUUACUAACUACCAUCUUCUUCUUCUUCUCUAGUUUCUAACUCGCUGCAAAUUCACUAAGUCCUCGUGUUCAAGGGCUAGAUUCUGAGCUUAUGGAGAAUUAAGUUUGGCUUUAUAUAAAAGAAUGCAUGUCGCUACUGGUGGAGUACUGUCUGUGUCUACAGCAACCUUGCUGCUAUGUAUGACCCCAUGGGAAGGUAGCAACCUUGCUGCUACAUAUAGGCACGCUGAGCAUGAAAGAGGAGGAUGCAUGAUGAGUUUGAUGGCAAAGUGGAUUAGGUUUAGGUUUUUGGUUUAGUUUAAGUUUAUGGUUUAGCAUAGGUUUACGUUUUUUCUGGUUUUAGUUUUGUAAACUGAUUUUAAUUUAUAAAUAAAAUUAAUUUUAUUUUUA